rnacentral:rRNA from 1 species
UACGUAGGGGGCAAGCGUUGUCCGGAAUCAUUGGGCGUAAAGAGCUCGUAGGCGGUUUGUCGCGUCUGCUGUGAAAACUGGAGGCUCAACCUCCAGCCUGCAGUGGGUACGGGCAAACUAGAGUGCGGUAGGGGAGAUUGGAAUUCCUGGUGUAGCGGUGGAAUGCGCAGAUAUCAGGAGGAACACCGAUGGCGAAGGCAGAUCUCUGGGCCGUAACUGACGCUGAGGAGCGAAAGCAUGGGGAGCGAACAGG